rnacentral:tRNA from 1 species
GGGCGCGUAGCUCAAUGGCCAGAGCAUUCGCCUUACACGCGAAGGGUUCCCGGUUCGAGUCCGGGCGCGCCCA